rnacentral:rRNA from 1 species
UACGGAGGAGGCAAGCGUUAUCCGGAAUUAUUGGGCGUAAAGCGUCCGCAGGUGGCACUUCAAGUCUGUCGUCAAAGACUGGGGCUUAACCCUGGAGAGGCGGUGGAAACUGAAGCGCUAGAGUGCGGUAGGGGUAGAGGGAAUUCCCGGUGUAGCGGUGAAAUGCGUAGAGAUCGGGAAGAACAUCGGUGGCGAAAGCGCUCUACUGGACCGCAACUGACACUCAGGGACGAAAGCUAGGGGAGCGAAUGGG